ensembl:lncRNA
AGGGCCGAAAGUUCCAGCAUUUUGAAAGCUUUAUCAACACUGAGGAUGUAAAGUUUCGUCACGCUGGGGGCGCCAUCUUGUGAGACCGAACCAAUAGGAGGAGAUGCCUGAUGACUUCGAGUUUGGCGAUGGAGAGGCCACGUGAAGGCUGUCGUCUUCUCUCGGGCACCACCAGGCAGGCUCAAGUCUUGCCAUGCCUACAACAAGGUGGCACAAGAGAUGCUACAGUCUAUCCCUGAUGACUUGUCCAGAGAUGCCUGGCUGGCAGCAUCCUGGAGACAGACGUGGGAGACGGCUGGGCCCUCCCGCAUCCAACGAUACAUCAGGGACCCAGGAGGCGGUGUGAAAGGAGGAGACCUGCCACGCCACCUGUGGACCUCGCUGAACCGUCUACGUACUGGGGUCGGCCGCUCCAAGUCAUCUCUGAAGAAGUGGGGCCUAUCGGACAGUGCGGCAUGCGAGUGUGGCGAACCUGAACAGACUGCCGAGCCCAUAAUCACCGGCUGCCCCCUAUACAGCCCACCCUCAGAAGCUGGCCUAUUUGACUUGGGACCAGAGACGAGGGCGUGGCUGCACGACACCGAGUUGGCCAUCUGAUGAUACAGGAAAGAAGAAGAAUAGGAGGAGUACGUUUCUGCAAUACAGGAGGCUGUAGUUUCAGGGUUAUUCAUUAUGUGGAACAAACCAUUAAAACUAGAAGGGCUGCCAUGUAAUAGACCUCCCUAUGUGUGGUGAUGGCUCGCUUAACCUGUGUGCAUGACUGCCCCAGAGGUGUGCAGCCUCACUCUGCCCUAUUCUCCAGUCAGUCUGACUCAGGCCAGGUGAGAAUUCAUCAAACCGCCAUCAACCACACAUACUCUACUCCUAAAACUGAAGUCUUGGAAUGGAAGUAGUAUUUAUUCAUCUAUAAAAUAAAUAGGGAACUAGAAAUGCUCUCCAAAAAAUUAGGUCCUGAAACUAAAGAUAAAACCCUGCUCGUUCUAACAUAGCCCGCUCGCCAUCGUGUUAUAUCGUCAACUUCACAUUCCCUGCAUCCCUUUUUUUUUUCUUGUUGUUUGUGAUCCAAGGUCUGCUGUAUGCUUGGAUUUUCAAAGUAGUGCAACAGUUAGGGUCAAAUAAUGACUUAAAUAUAUAACAAAAUAUGCCGUUUUGUGAUAGUAAGUCACAUUUCAAUUUACUGUUUGUAUAUUGUACACCAAAAAUGUGCAAAAGUGAAUGUUAAAAAGGCUGUUGAGUUUGUUCGGUUUGCAGUAAGUCAUCUGUCUGUCCGUCUAUCUGUAUUUAAAGCUUUCUAUCUGACCUGCAGAAGAAUAUUGACCAAUGUUUUGUUUAUAAACCUCCUAAUAACAUGACAGCUAUACGAUAACCAAUGACUUGAUUUACGAAAUUCUUUAUUCUAGUUUUAUUCUAGU